AUUGAACGCUGGCGGCAGGCCUAACACAUGCAAGUCGAGCGGAUGAAGGGAGCUUGCUCCUGGAUUCAGCGGCGGACGGGUGAGUAAUGCCUAGGAAUCUGCCUGGUAGUGGGGGAUAACGUCCGGAAACGGGCGCUAAUACCGCAUACGUCCUGAGGGAGAAAGUGGGGGAUCUUCGGACCUCACGCUAUCAGAUGAGCCUAGGUCGGAUUAGCUAGUUGGUGGGGUAAAGGCCUACCAAGGCGACGAUCCGUAACUGGUCUGAGAGGAUGAUCAGUCACACUGGAACUGAGACACGGUCCAGACUCCUACGGGAGGCAGCAGUGGGGAAUAUUGGACGAUGGGCGAAAGCCUGAUCCAGCCAUGCCGCGUGUGUGAAGAAGGUCUUCGGAUUGUAAAGCACUUUAAGUUGGGAGGAAGAGCAGUAAGUUAAUACCUUGCUGUUUUGACGUUACCAACAGAAUAAGCACCGGCUAACUUCGUG
rnacentral:rRNA from 1 species